rnacentral:rRNA from 1 species
UACGUAGGGUGCAAGCGUUGUCCGGAAUUAUUGGGCGUAAAGGGCUCGUAGGCGGUCUGUCGCGUCAGGAGUGAAAACUCGGGGCUUAACCCCGAGCCUGCUUCUGAUACGGGCAGACUAGAGGUAUGCAGGGGAGAACGGAAUUCCUGGUGUAGCGGUGAAAUGCGCAGAUAUCAGGAGGAACACCGGUGGCGAAGGCGGUUCUCUGGGCAUGUCCUGACGCUGAGGAGCGAAAGUGUGGGGAGCGAACAGG